AAAGAUUUAGGAUAAUAAAAGACCAAGGGCCUUCAAAGCCCUAAGUGAAGGUGAAAAUCCUUCAGUCUUUG
rnacentral:tRNA from 1 species